GACGGAGGAGGCAAGCGUUGUCCGGAAUCAUUGGGCGUAAAGAGCGCGUAGGCGGUUUUUCAAGUCGUAUGUGAAAACUUCAGGCUUAACCUGAUGAUUGCAUAUGAAACUGGAUAACUUGAGUACAGCAGAGGAAAGUGGAAUUCCUGGUGUAGCGGUGAAAUGUGCAGAUAUCAGGAAGAACACCAGUAGCGAAGGCGGCUUUCUGGGCUGUUACUGACGCUGAGGCGCGAAAGCUAGGGGAGCGAACAGG
rnacentral:rRNA from 1 species